rnacentral:lncRNA from 1 species
CUGUUAUGGUUGCCAAAAGGGAAGCUGGUUCCUUCACCAUGAUGGAGUGACCCUCUAAAACUACACCUGGCAUCUGGCUGCGACAUCCUGUGGUAGGCUGUCCUGUCGAGGUGUAGCACACCUUUGUCUGAGCCACUGAAGAGUUUUGUGGACCCCAGAGGAGUAGCUUGGAGAAGGUUUCGCUAUGUGGCCCUGGCUGUCCUGAAAGUCUAUCUGAAAGACCAGCCUAAUCUUGAACUCAGAGAUCUACCAAGAUCUACCAGCCUUUGCCUCCCAAAGGCCGGGAUUAAAGUCAUGAGCCACCAUGCCUGGAUGAAACCGGAUUUUCCAAAGCAAAGAUACAGCAUCUCCAACAAGUAAUACAUAUUUAUCGUGAGGUAGAUGCUGUGGCUUCAAUGGCCUCAGACGAAACAUGGUGCAUUUUAGUCCCUCCUGUAACUGGUAGAAGCAAGAACAGAGGAGGCUGAUGGGAGGAGGAGAUAAUAGUCAAAGAAGCAGACAGAUCACCCAGGGGCUAAUGAAGUCAUGGGCUGAUGGGUAAUCCCCACCUGGGAGACUGCGAGGACUCAAAAGGUAAAAGGGCUUACCACCAAGCCUGACAACGUGAGUUCAAUCCCUGGGUCCCACGUGGUGGAAGCAGAGAAC